CUUGGAUGGAAUUCUCAAUUAGGAAAGCUG
rnacentral:piRNA from 1 species